rnacentral:rRNA from 1 species
GACAGAGGGUGCAAACGUUGUUCGGAAUUACUGGGCGUAAAGCGUGUGUAGGCUGCUACAUAAGUCGGAUGUGAAAGCCCCGGGCUCAACCCGGGAAGUGCACUCGAUACUGCGUAGCUUGAGUCUCGGAGAGGUUGGUGGAAUUCUCGGUGUAGAGGUGAAAUGCGCAGAUAUCGGGAGGAACACCAAUUGCGAAGGCAGCUCGCUGGGACGUAACUGACGCUGAGACGCGAAAGCGUGGGGAGCAAACAGG